rnacentral:rRNA from 1 species
AGUGAACGCUGGCGGUAGGCCUAACACAUGCAAGUCGAACGGCAGCACAGUAAGAGCUUGCUCUUACGGGUGGCGAGUGGCGGACGGGUGAGGAAUACAUCGGAAUCUACUUUUUCGUGGGGGAUAACGUAGGGAAACUUACGCUAAUACCGCAUACGACCUACGGGUGAAAGCAGGGGAUCUUCGGACCUUGCGCGAUUGAAUGAGCCGAUGUCGGAUUAGCUAGUUGGCGGGGUAAAGGCCCACCAAGGCGACGAUCCGUAGCUGGUCUGAGAGGCUGAUCAGCCACACUGGAACUGGGACACGGUCCAGACUCCUACGGGAGGCAGCAGUGGGGAAUAUUGGACAGUGGGCGCAAGCCUGAUCCAGCCAUACCGCGUGGGUGAAGAAGGCCUUCGGGUUGUAAAGCCCUUUUGUUGGGAAAGAAAAGCAGCAGGUUAAUACCCCGCUGUUCUGACGGUACCCAAAGAAUAAGCACCGGCUAACUUCGUG